AUUGAACGCUGGCGGCAGGCCUAACACAUGCAAGUCGAACGAGUGGCGGACGGGUGAGUAAUGUCUGGGAAACUGCCUGAUGGAGGGGGAUAACUACUGGAAACGGUAGCUAAUACCGCAUACCAUCAGAUGUGCCCAGAUGGGAUUAGCUUGUUGGUGGGGUAACGGCUCACCAAGGAGACGAUCCCUAGCUGGUCUGAGAGGAUGACCGGCCACACUGGAACUGAGACACGGUCCAGACGCAUACGGGAGGAAGCAGUGGGGAAUAUUGGACAAUGGGCGCAAGCCUGAUGCAGACAUGCCGAGUGUAUGAAGAAGGCCUUCGGGUUGUAAAGUACUUGCAGCGGGGAGGCGUUACCCUAAGAAGAAGCACCGGCUAACUCCGUGCCAGCAGCCGCGGUAAUUC
rnacentral:rRNA from 1 species